ensembl:snoRNA
UUUACUGUUGUCAAUGAUGCAUUCUGAUUGACUGACUUUCUGUGUGAGGUAUUUUUAUCAGAUUUCGUCACUACCACUGAGACAACUGCUAA